rnacentral:rRNA from 1 species
GACGAACGCUGGCGGCGUGCUUAACACAUGCAAGUCGAACGGAAAGGCCCUGCUUUUGUGGGGUGCUCGAGUGGCGAACGGGUGAGUAACACGUGAGUAACCUGCCCUUGACUUUGGGAUAACUUCAGGAAACUGGGGCUCAUACCGGAUAGGAGCUCCUGCUGCAUGGUGGUGGUUGGAAAGUUUCGGCGGUGGGGGCUGGACUCGCGGCUUCUCCGCUUGUUGGUGGGGUAGUGGCUUACCAAGGCUUUGACGGGUAGCCGGCCUGAGAGGGUGACCGGCCACAUUGGGACUGAGAUACGGCCCAGACUGCUACGGGAGGCAGCAGUGGGGAAUAUUGCACAAUGGGCGGAAGCCUGAUGCAGCAACGCCGCGUGCGGGAUGACGGCCUUCGGGUUGUAAACCGCUUUCGCCUGUGACGAAGCGUGAGUGACGGUAAUGGGUAAAGAAGCACCGGCUAACUACGUG